rnacentral:rRNA from 1 species
GCAUCGAGUGCGGGCGCUCUGGGCCAACCUCCCACCCGUGUCUCUCGCGUACUUUGUUGCUUUGGCGGGCCCACUGGGUCACUCCGGUCGCCGGGGAGCGCUAUGCUCCCGGGCCCGUGCCCGCCAGAGCACCCCUGUGAACCCUGAUGAAGAGAGGCUGUCUGAGUCCCACGAUAAUCGUUAAAACUUUCAACAAUGGAUCUCUUGGUUCCGGCAUCGAUGAAGAACGCAGCGAAAUGCGAUAAGUAAUGUGAAUUGCAGAAUUCCGUGAAUCAUCGAAUCUUUGAACGCACAUUGCGCCCCCUGGCAUUCCGGGGGGCAUGCCUGUCCGAGCGUCAUUUCUGCCCUCAAGCGCGGCUUGUGUGUUGGGCGUGGUCCCCCUGGCUUUGGCGGGGACCUGCCCGAAAGGCAGCGGCGACGUCCCGCCUAGUCCUCGAGCGUAUGGGGCUCUGUCACGCGCUCGGGAGGGACUGGUGGGCGUUGGUCACCCCUUAUUCUUUCUACGGUUGACCUCGGAUCAGGUAGGAGUUACCCGCUGAACUUAAGCAUAUCAAAAG